GAUGAACGCUAGCGGCAGGCCUAAUACAUGCAAGUCGAACGGUGUCUUCGGACAUAGUGGCGCACGGGUGCGUAACACGUAUGCAACCUACCUUACAUUGGGGGAUAGCCUUUCGAAAGGGAGAUUAAUACCGCAUAAGACAGUAGCUGGGCAUCCAGCAGCUGUUAAAGUUCCAACGCUAAAUGAUGAGCAUGCGUCCCAUUAGCUAGAUGGUAAGGUAACGGCUUACAAUGGCGACGAUGGGUAGGGGUCCUGAGAGGGAGAUCCCCCACACUGGUACUGAGACACGGACCAGACUCCUACGGGAGGCAGCAGUGAGGAAUAUUGGACAAUGGGCGCAAGCCUGAUCCAGCCAUGCCGCGUGCAGGAAGACGGUCCUAUGGAUUGUAAACUGCUUUUGUACAGGAAGAAACACUCCCUCGUGAGGGAGCUUGACGGUACUGUAAGAAUAAGGAUCGGCUAACUCCGUGCCAGCAGCCGCGGUAACAC
rnacentral:rRNA from 1 species